UACGGGGGGGGCAAGCGUUGUUCGGAAUUACUGGGCGUAAAGGGCUUGUAGGCGGCCAACUAAGUCCGACGUGAAAUCCCCAGGCUUAACCUGGGAACUGCGUCGGAUACUGGAUGGCUUGAAUUCGGGAGAGGGAUGCAGAAUUCCAGGUGUAGCGGUGAAAUGCGCAGAUAUCAGGAAGAACACCCGUGGCGAAGGCGGCUCUCUGGGACGGUACUGACGCUGAGACGCGAAAGCGUGGGGAGCGAACAGG
rnacentral:rRNA from 1 species